AUGCUUAAAAAAGAAAAAAAGGACCAUUAGAUUCUGCUGUGCAUUCUACAUGCCUUGUAUAUUACACACAAGGGGAGCAUGUGGCUCUACUUAUUAACCUCAUUAAUAGAGAAGAGCGGAAAUCUAGCCUUGCAGGUGACACAAGUGCAGAUGGCCAACCCUGACUGAAUUUGCUGCCAGGCUGUUUGCAUGUUUGCAAGCACCUCAUUCUUGUGCUGCAUGCCUGCAACUUGCUGGCAGGAGUUGGGAGAUACCUUUGAGACUUCCAAGAAAUCAGGAGGUUUUGUCAAAGACAGUCACCUAAUGUGAGAUGAGGACUUAGGAAAAAUCUAAGACCUUAUGAAAUGUCCAAUGGAUAACAAAAAAAAUGAGAGAACUGCAGGCACUAAGGAAAAAAGAUUCAAGCCUGGUAUUAUUUUUCUGAAUGCUUCAGAUUGGUCACUAUAAGAGCAGCCCAGCUACAGUAGAAAGAGAAGGAAGGAGGAGGCUGGAGAACAAGCCAGCAACUUCAUCAUGUGUAUAAGAGGCAUUCCCCUUACUGGCAGCUCAGAGAUGGAUAAGAAACUCCAGGAGCAGAUAUGGAAGUGGUUCCCAGCUGCUGCUGCCUGCUGGACAAACCUCAGGCAUUUCACGAACGGUUUUGUUUCCCCAUCCUCCAGGCCUACACUGCCCUCUUCCCCUUGCACACAGCUCAGCAGAGCACAGCAAAAUGCAUGCUUUUGUUGAGCUCCAAAGAAUGUAUUACCACAAGCUGCAAUUGGUGAGAGAGCAGGCCAAACUGGGGAUGGAACUGAAAUGGCUGGAAAUUCAGCUUUCCUCACUCUCAAUCAGUGAACAGAUUCAAACUCCCACAAAUCAACGAUUUCCACCAUUUUACUGUUAGCUUGCCUCAGAAUUAAUGUAAAUUGGUAUGUUUUACUCUCUGAACCACUGGGACGGCAAGAGUUAAGGAGCUGAGCUGGGAAUCUCAUGAGAUCAGUCCUUUCUAGUGGGAAGAUUUACCAUACUUCCUGCUUUUUGAUGUACUGGAAAUACUUUAUGCUCAGUCUUUCUUGUGGUAUCUUGGCACUGCUUCU